rnacentral:rRNA from 1 species
CCUACGGGAGGCUGCAGUCGAGAAUCAUUCACAAUGGGGGAAACCCUGAUGGUGCGACGCCGCGUGGGGGAAUGAAGGUCUUCGGAUUGUAAACCCCUGUCAUGUGGGAGCAAAUUAAAAAGAUAGUACCACAAGAGGAAGAGACGGCUAACUCUGUGCCAGCAGCCGCGGUAAUACAGAGGUCUCAAGCGUUGUUCGGAAUCACUUGGCGUAAGGCGUUUGUAGGCUGUUUCGUAAGUCGUGUGUGAAAGGCGCGGGCUCAACCCGCGGACGGCACAUGAUACUGCGAGACUAGAGUAAUGGAGGGGGAACCGGAAUUCUCGGUGUAGCAGUGAAAUGCGUAGAUAUCGAGAGGAACACUCGUGGCGAAGGCGGGUUCCUGGACAUUAACUGACGCUGAGGCACGAAGGCCAGGGGAGCGAAAGGGAUUAGAUACCCCUGUAGUC